AGAGUUUGAUCAUGGCUCAGGAUGAACGCUAGCGGCAGGCUUAAUACAUGCAAGUCGAGGGGCAGCAUGAGUGUAGCAAUACAUUUGAUGGCGACCGGCAAACGGGUGCGGAACACGUACAGAACCUUCCUUCGAGCGGGGAAUAGCCCAGAGAAAUUUGGAUUAAUACCCCAUAGUAUAUUGGUAAGGCAUCUUAUUAAUAUUAAAGAUUUAUCACUUGAAGAUGGCUGUGCGUCUGAUUAGGUAGUUGGCGGGGUAACGGCCCACCAAGCCUUCGAUCAGUAACUGGUGUGAGAGCACGACCAGUCACACGGGCACUGAGACACGGGCCCGACUCCUACGGGAGGCAGCAGUAAGGAAUAUUGGUCAAUGGACGCAAGUCUGAACCAGCCAUGCCGCGUGGAGGAUGAAGGUCCUCUGGAUUGUAAACUUCUUUUAUCUGGGAAGAAAAAAGGGAAUUCUUUCCCGUCUGACGGUACCAGAUGAAUAAGCACCGGCUAACUCCGUGCCAGCAGCCGCGGUAAUACGGAGGGUGCAAGCGUUAUCCGGAUUCACUGGGUUUAAAGGGUGCGUAGGUGGGUUGCCAAGUCCGUGGUGAAAUCUCCGAGCUUAACUCGGAAACUGCCAUGGAUACUGGUGAUCUUGAAUGCCGUGGAGGUCAGCGGAAUAUGUCAUGUAGCGGUGAAAUGCUUAGAUAUGACAUAGAACACCGAUUGCGAAGGCAGCUGGCUACACGAAUAUUGACACUGAGGCACGAAAGCGUGGGGAUCAAACAGGAUUAGAUACCCUAGUAGUCC
rnacentral:rRNA from 1 species